rnacentral:rRNA from 1 species
GACGAACGCUGGCGGCGUGCUUAACACAUGCAAGUCGAGCGGUAAGGCCCUUUCGGGGGUACACGAGCGGCGAACGGGUGAGUAACACGUGGGUGACCUGCCCUCAGCUCUGGGAUAAGCCUGGGAAACCGGGUCUAAUACCGGAUAUGACUCCAUGACGCAUGUUGUGGGGUGGAAAGCCUUGUGCGGCUGAGGAUGGGCCCGCGGCCUAUCAGCUUGUUGGUGGGGUGAUGGCCUACCAAGGCGACGACGGGUAGCCGGCCUGAGAGGGCGACCGGCCACACUGGGACUGAGACACGGCCCAGACUCCUACGGGAGGCAGCAGUGGGGAAUCUUGCGCAAUGGGCGAAAGCCUGACGCAGCGACGCCGCGCGA